GAUGAACGCUGGCGGCGUGCCUAAUACAUGCAAGUCGAGCGAACAGACGAUGCGCUUGCUCCUCUGACGUUAGCGGCGGACGGGUGUGUAACACGUGGAUCACCUCCCUAUCAUACUGAGAUCACUUCGGGACACCGGCGAUUAUCCCGGAUAAUAUAUUGAACCGUAUGGUUCAUUAGUGAAAGACGGUUUUGCUGUCACUUAUAGAUGCUUCCGCGCCUCAUUAUCGAGUUGGUACGGUAACGGCUUACCAAGGCAACGAUGCGUAGCCGAGCUGAGAGGGUGAUCGGCGACAGAGGAAGUGAGACACGGUACAGAGACUGAGGGGAGGCAGCAGUAGGGAAGCUACGGCAAUGGGCGAAAGCUUGAAGGAGCAACGGAGGGUGGGUGAAGAAGGGCUGCGGAUCGUAAAACUCUGUUAUGAGGGAAGAACAAAUGUGUAAGUAACGAUGCACGUCUUGAGGGUACCGAUACAGAAAGCCACGGCUAACUACGU
rnacentral:rRNA from 1 species